rnacentral:rRNA from 1 species
UACGUAGGGGGCUAGCGUUAUCCGGAAUUACUGGGCGUAAAGGGUGCGUAGGUGGUUUCUUAAGUCAGAGGUGAAAGGCUACGGCUCAACCGUAGUAAGCCUUUGAAACUGGGAAACUUGAGUGCAGGAGAGGAGAGUGGAAUUCCUAGUGUAGCGGUGAAAUGCGUAGAUAUUAGGAGGAACACCAGUUGCGAAGGCGGCUCUCUGGACUGUAACUGACACUGAGGCACGAAAGCGGGGGGAGCAAACAGGAUUAGAUACCCUGGUAGUCCCUGAGCGGG